rnacentral:misc_RNA from 1 species
AAGUCGUAACAAGGUUUCCGUAGGUGAACCUGCGGAAGGAUCAUUAACGAGAAAAACGCAUGCUCGUCUCGAACUUUUGGGGGCUGUCGCUGGCAAUGGCCGAGUGACAUGGGGUGGCUCCUCGUAGAUUAGCUGCACCUUAACGGGCCGAGCCGUGUUUCGAUCCCCGUCAAAGGGCACUUGUGCAUGUAGCGGGGAGUUGAGCCCGCCACCACAGAAUACCCCGGACCCAUGCUGUUGCACGCCCUCGGAGGGAGACGAGCAUCCAUCCACUUCUCCACACACACCUGUGCACAACCGGCAAGACGCGUUGUCGUCUUGCCCAUUCUUUACAUGCCUCCCUUUAAAGUAACAUGCUAGAACGGCGUUGUACGUGUGAUCGUCUCACACGAAAGAAAUAUACAACUUUCAGCAACGGAUCUCUUGGCUCUC